CAACUCUGCUGAUGAUUCUGGAGCUCUUAGAAAUCAAGCCAGAAGAGGAAACAGGUGCAAAAUGACACAGAUAGAUAUCUGACUUAACUAAAUCACUUCAGUUCUGGAUAGAGUACAUCUGUCUCUGCUACUGAGAUAAUUAAUUUUAUCUUUAUGGAGAAGGUAAGAGAUUUAAUUGCUCUUUCUUGUGUGUUUAGAAAUCAGCACAAGAAGUACAAUAAUUAUGAACUCUGACAUUUCUCAUGUAACUUUCCUAGUUUUUAUUUUAUUCUUUUUGCAGUAAGGCUAGGUGGCUUUAAUCGAUAAAUAGCUGGCCUUGGAGUCAAGAAGACCUGAGAUCAAAUUCAAGUGUCUCAUAUUAGACCCUGAUGCUGGACAAGUGAAUUAACCUCUCUGAGCUUCAGUUUCUGCUUCUGUAAAAUUGGGACAAUAGUACCUAUAGAACAUGGUUGUGAGGAUCUUAUCAGUUCUCCAAAACAAAAGAAACAAAAACCCCACAGGCGCUUAUCACUGAAAAAUCAUGAGAUCAAGCAAGGGGUGUGUUUGAAAAUGUUAAGAAACUAGCUAUAGGACAAAGAGAAACCUAUGCUAGACACACUUUGAAGCUCAAUUUGCAUUAGCAUUUUCUUAAGUCCAUAUAAUUAAUAAAACAACAAAUUAUUCCA
rnacentral:lncRNA from 1 species